rnacentral:rRNA from 1 species
UACGUAGGGUGCAAGCGUUAUCGGAAUUACUGGGCGUAAAGCGUGCGUAGGCGGCUAUGUAAGACAGAUGUGAAAUCCCUGGGCUUAACCUAGGAACUGCAUUUGUGACUGCAUUGCUAGAGUGUGGUAGAGGGAGAUGGAAUUCCGCAUGUAGCAGUGAAAUGCGUAGAUAUGCGGAGGAACACCAAUGGCGAAGGCAAUCUCCUGGACCUGCACUGACGCUCAUGCACGAAAGCGUGGGGAGCAAACAGG